rnacentral:misc_RNA from 1 species
GUUCCUGGUGACUUUGGGUCAAAUAAGUAAAGCUUACUGGACUAGAAAUGAUUGUUCAUUUAUCAUUUUCCCCUGCAUAGCAAGGCUUCAACAGAAGAAACUCCUCGAGCUAUAGCUGUUUUUGGUCUUCCAGGAACCUUGCAGUUUGUUGCAUACACCACAAGGUUCCAGUGGUUUCUUCGUGCCGGAUUGUCUAACUUAGCACAGCAAAAAAUGAAUGUAGUGUGGAGUAGAUAUACACCGACAGUUCUUCUUUGAACCUUUUGUCUGUACAAUUGAACCUUGAACGGUAGGGUGGGUUUGUCUAGCAGUUUUGCAAUGAGA